GACGAACGCUGGCGGCGUGCCUAAUACAUGCAAGUCGAGCGGACAGACGGGAGCUUGCUCCCUGAGGUGAUCGGCGGACGGGUGAGUAACACGUGGGGAACCUGCCUGUAAGACUGGGAGAACUCCGGGAAACAGGGGCGAAUACCGGAUGGUUGUCUUAACCGCAUGGGUCAGACAUAAAAGAGAGGUUCUGCUACUACUUACAGAAUGACCCGCGGCGCAUUAACUAGUUUGGUAGGUAACGGCUCAACAAGGCAACGAUGCGUUACCCACCUGGGAGGGUGGUCGGCCCACCUGGGACUGCGGCCCCGCCCCACCUCCUACGGGCGGCAGCCGUAGGGGAUCUUCCGCCAUAGCCGGAAGUCUGACGGAGCCACGCCGCGUGAGUGAUGAAGGUUUUCGGGUCGUAAAGCUCUGUUGUUCGGGAAGAACCAGUCCCGUUCAUAUAGGGCGGCACCUUGACGGUACCUAACCAGAAAGCCACGGCUAACUACGUG
rnacentral:rRNA from 1 species